AAGAGUAAGGGUGCUCGCCGCCCGACCUCCAACCCUCUGUUGUUAAAACUACCUUGUUGCUUUGGCGGGACCGCUCGGUCUCGAGCCGCAGGGGCUUCGGCCCAGGCGAGCGCCCGCCAGAGUUAAACCAAACUCUUGUUUAUAUAACCGGUCGUCUGAGCAAAAAUUUUGAAUAAAUCA
rnacentral:misc_RNA from 2 species